rnacentral:rRNA from 1 species
GGGUUGUGAGGUUAAGCGACUAAGCGUACACGGUGGAUGCCCUGGCAGUCAGAGGCGAUGAAGGACGUGCUAAUCUGCGAUAAGCGUCGGUAAGGUGAUAUGAACCGUUAUAACCGGCGAUUUCCGAAUGGGGAAACCCAGUGUGAUUCGUCACACUAUCAUUAACUGAAUCCAUAGGUUAAUGAGGCGAACCGGGGGAACUGAAACAUCUAAGUACCCCGAGGAAAAGAAAUCAACCGAGAUUCCCCCAGUAGCGGCGAGCGAACGGGGAGCAGCCCAGAGCCUGAAUCAGUGUGUGUGUUAGUGGAAGCGUCUGGAAAGGCGCGCGAUACAGGGUGACAGCCCCGUACACAAAAAUGCACAUGCUGUGAGCUCGAUGAGUAGGGCGGGACACGUGGUAUCCUGUCUGAAUAUGGGGGGACCAUCCUCCAAGGCUAAAUACUCCUGACUGACCGAUAGUGAACCAGUACCGUGAGGGAAAGGCGAAAAGAACCCCGGCGAGGGGAGUGAAAAAGAACCUGAAACCGUGUACGUACAAGCAGUGGGAGCACGCUUAGGCGUGUGACUGCGUACCUUUUGUAUAAUGGGUCAGCGACUUAUAUUCUGUAGCAAGGUUAACCGAAUAGGGGAGCCGAAGGGAAACCGAGUCUUAACUGGGCGUUAAGUUGCAGGGUAUAGACCCGAAACCCGGUGAUCUAGCCAUGGGCAGGUUGAAGGUUGGGUAACACUAACUGGAGGACCGAACCGACUAAUGUUGAAAAAUUAGCGGAUGACUUGUGGCUGGGGGUGAAAGGCCAAUCAAACCGGGAGAUAGCUGGUUCUCCCCGAAAGCUAUUUAGGUAGCGCCUCGUGAAUUCAUCUCCGGGGGUAGAGCACUGUUUCGGCAAGGGGGUCAUCCCGACUUACCAACCCGAUGCAAACUGCGAAUACCGGAGAAUGUUAUCACGGGAGACACACGGCGGGUGCUAACGUCCGUCGUGAAGAGGGAAACAACCCAGACCGCCAGCUAAGGUCCCAAAGUCAUGGUUAAGUGGGAAACGAUGUGGGAAGGCCCAGACAGCCAGGAUGUUGGCUUAGAAGCAGCCAUCAUUUAAAGAAAGCGUAAUAGCUCACUGGUCGAGUCGGCCUGCGCGGAAGAUGUAACGGGGCUAAACCAUGCACCGAAGCUGCGGCAGCGACACUUAUGUGUUGUUGGGUAGGGGAGCGUUCUGUAAGCCUGUGAAGGUGUACUGUGAGGUAUGCUGGAGGUAUCAGAAGUGCGAAUGCUGACAUAAGUAACGAUAAAGCGGGUGAAAAGCCCGCUCGCCGGAAGACCAAGGGUUCCUGUCCAACGUUAAUCGGGGCAGGGUGAGUCGACCCCUAAGGCGAGGCCGAAAGGCGUAGUCGAUGGGAAACAGGUUAAUAUUCCUGUACUUGGUGUUACUGCGAAGGGGGGACGGAGAAGGCUAUGUUGGCCGGGCGACGGUUGUCCCGGUUUAAGCGUGUAGGCUGGUUUUCCAGGCAAAUCCGGAAAAUCAAGGCUGAGGCGUGAUGACGAGGCACUACGGUGCUGAAGCAACAAAUGCCCUGCUUCCAGGAAAAGCCUCUAAGCAUCAGGUAACAUCAAAUCGUACCCCAAACCGACACAGGUGGUCAGGUAGAGAAUACCAAGGCGCUUGAGAGAACUCGGGUGAAGGAACUAGGCAAAAUGGUGCCGUAACUUCGGGAGAAGGCACGCUGAUAUGUAGGUGAAGUGAUUUACUCAUGGAGCUGAAAUCAGUCGAAGAUACCAGCUGGCUGCAACUGUUUAUUAAAAACACAGCACUGUGCAAACACGAAAGUGGACGUAUACGGUGUGACGCCUGCCCGGUGCCGGAAGGUUAAUUGAUGGGGUCAGCGCAAGCGAAGCUCUUGAUCGAAGCCCCGGUAAACGGCGGCCGUAACUAUAACGGUCCUAAGGUAGCGAAAUUCCUUGUCGGGUAAGUUCCGACCUGCACGAAUGGCGUAAUGAUGGCCAGGCUGUCUCCACCCGAGACUCAGUGAAAUUGAACUCGCUGUGAAGAUGCAGUGUACCCGCGGCAAGACGGAAAGACCCCGUGAACCUUUACUAUAGCUUGACACUGAACAUUGAGCCUUGAUGUGUAGGAUAGGUGGGAGGCUUUGAAGUGUGGACGCCAGUCUGCAUGGAGCCGACCUUGAAAUACCACCCUUUAAUGUUUGAUGUUCUAACGU